ACAGUACAGGAACCAAUGGACGAACCGAGGGCAUUGCUUUUACUCAAUCUGGAUGUCAGCGACUCGUACACGACGAUGGUCGGGAAGAAAAAGAAGAGGAAAACAAACAGCUACAACGAGACGUUGGUGGAAAAUAAAAAUUGGCAACUUACCUCAAGAACGAGGGUGGCUUGGAAGAGCGCAAACAGAAUCAUCUUGUUUGAAGGCACGCCAGCAAAUGAUCACGAGGAUGCAUUCGAACUAGGUCAUUGCCGGCCCAACAGGUUUCGCGCGCUUGUGCUGAUGAACGCUGCGUGUUUUGUUACACCGCUGUGAAAGACAAGUAACAAUGCCACUUGUACCUUUCUUUAAGUCAUCAAGAGAUAGAACGACCAUCUCCCUCGUGCAAUGUGCAGGUCACAUCAUAACUCUUAUCAUCGUAAGAAGAAAUAACGGUAUUUGGAGCCUAACGGUCAAUGACUUGCCCUAUGUUCUAGAGAAAUCUUUUACAUCUAGUUGAAACAUGUCUACAGUGCUGCCUCUUUUUAUGACUAGGCGCGACAUUCAAACCAUCCGAGGCCUUAUUCAUUAGGCCGUGGAGGCUCAUUGGCUAAUUACAUCCAUCGGAUGGAACACGGCGAAAAGUAAUCGAGAACAAGGAAUAAAAUUUAAGAAUUGUAUUUGAACGAUUGCAGCAAUGUCAAAUGGACACAACAUACGACAAAUGGAGAAUUCAUUGAA